rnacentral:lncRNA from 1 species
CGACCUCGAAGCGGCAUCCGAGGAGAUGUGGCCAUGGGGCAGGCGACCGACAACAGCGAGUCCAGAGGGCCAGCGUGUGCACCACUGUGUGUCUCCAGAGACUUCAGGAAGCAGCCACCACGCCUGAGAGGAAUGCAGGAAGACGGACACAUGGCUGGGGAAGUACAAUGAAAGGCCAAGUAGGCAGCCUGUUCUCCUCAGAUCAGUCCCCCACGAACACUCAUUCCUGAGGACUCAUCCAAUACUAAGAGAAUGCUCUUGUUUUUGAAGAAUUUUCUGAAAGCCAUCCUGACAAAUUAAGUAGAGUAUGCUGAAGAUAGUCAGACUUUGUUUUUAAGAAUUGAAUAUUCUGGAAGAGGCUCUUCAGUCCAAUCUUUAGUUCUCUCCACAGAGCAAACGAAGUGAAGUGCCGAAGGCCUGGAGCCCGAGCUGUUCCCACACGGACUCCAGGACAGUUAAGGCAGGGUUGCCUUAACUAAAUCUCUGAUAACUGUUUCUUCUGUCUUUCUCCUAAAAAUGGAAUGCAGGCCAUCUAUUCUAGGGAAAUAAAGGAUUCUAGUUAUGUGAA